ensembl:lncRNA LINC02008 long intergenic non-protein coding RNA 2008
GGAUUUGAACGGCGGGCAGGAAGUACUCGAGUAGGGAGUCUGGCCUAGUGAAAGUCUCUGUUUCCUCCUUUUCUUACUUUUCACUCAAUAAAACCCUGCUUUACACACCCUUCAAACCAUCUGUGAGCCUGAAUUUUUACGGCCAUGGGACAGACAAGGAUCCUGUCUUUAUCUAAACUAAGGAAAAGUCCUGCAACAUUUGUGGUGCACAACGUGGGGCUCGAGAAGUGAUCAUCCAAAGUCCAGCUACCACAAUAUGUCUGGAUUGAAUCUUAAGGAUUCUUCCUGUUAUUCAUGAAAACGCCUAUUUUGGAGUGAAACCAGGGCCGCCUUAUGAGCUAAACAGAGUGUGUUACAGCUUCAAUAGACUAAACAAGCUCUAAAUUUAUCUUCCUAUGGUCACGGGAUCUCAUAUAUUCUGGCUGUCAUUGUCAUAAUAAGCCACUCUUGGUCAUAUGGAAAAGCAUUCAGCUGCUCCCUGCCUUUGCUCACAGCGUGUGGUACUCUCUUAGAAGCUAUUCCUGUCCUAUUUAGGCAGUUAUUCCUGCUUCUUGUGUUGGACCUGAAGUCAACAGGGCCAGCAAUAGAGAAGAAAGAUGAUGUGAAGGAGAGCAACUGAAAUGGGAGAGUUCUCUGACCCACUCGUGGAACCUGCUUGGGCUGCCAUGUGCUCAAACCCUUUAUGGAGGGGAGAUGCAGACAGAUUAAUAAACUGAGGCAAACAGAAACUAGGAAACUUGCAGAAUAAAUGAAUAAAGAAAUAAAA